AGUGAGAGUAUUCUUUUCCAGGAGCUGGAGCCUUCAGGAAAAGCAAGGACAGAAACAGAAGCCAUCGAGAGCUACAAAGCUGGACCUUGAGCCCCAAGGCAUCCUGGUUUGGUUUAAGACCUCCUGGAGCAGGUUUAACAUCGACCAUGGCCAACAUUUACAUGAGAGUGUCCACCUUGAGUGACUGCUUUCCCCAGAUCCACGCUGUCACUCAUAC